UACGUAGGGUGCGAGCGUUGUCCGGAAUUAUUGGGCGUAAAGGGCUCGUAGGCGGUUUGUCGCGUCGGGAGUGAAAACCAUGGGCUUAACUCAUGGCUUGCUUCCGAUACGGGCAGACUAGAGGUAUGCAGGGGAGAACGGAAUUCCUGGUGUAGCGGUGAAAUGCGCAGAUAUCAGGAGGAACACCGGUGGCGAAGGCGGUUCUCUGGACCACAACUGACGCUGAGGCGCGAAAGCUAGGGGAGCAAACAGG
rnacentral:rRNA from 1 species